AGCGAACGCUGGCGGCAGGCCUAACACAUGCAAGUCGAACGGAUCCUUCGGGAUUAGUGGCGGACGGGUGAGUAACACGUGGGAACGUGCCCUUUGGUUCGGAACAACUCAGGGAAACUUGAGCUAAUACCGGAUGUGCCCUUCGGGGGAAAGAUUUAUCGCCAUUGGAGCGGCCCGCGUCUGAUUAGCUAGUUGGUGAGGUAACGGCCCACCAAGGCGACGAUCAGUAGCUGGUCUGAGAGGAUGAUCAGCCACACUGGGACUGAGACACGGCCCAGACUCCUACGGGAAGCAGCAGUGGGGAAUCUUGCGCAAUGGGCGAAAGCCUGACGCAGCCAUGGCGCGUGAAUGAUGAAGGUCUUAGGAUUGUAAAAUUCUUUCAGCGGGGACGAUAAUGACAGUACCCGCAGAAGAAGCUCCGGCUAACUUCGUG
rnacentral:rRNA from 1 species